rnacentral:rRNA from 1 species
GUAUUUUGGACAAUGGGCGAACGCCUGCUCCAGCAAUGCCGCGUGCAGGAUGAAGGCCUUCGGGUUGUAAACUGCUUUUGUACGGAGCGAAAAGCUUUGGGUUAAUACCCUGGAGUCAUGACGGUAGCGGAAGAAUCAGCCCCGGCUACCGCCGCGGCACCAGCCGCGGUAAUACGUAGGGGGCAAGCGUUAAUCGUAAUUACUGGGCGUAAAGCGUGCGCAGGCGGUUUUGUAAGACAGAGGUGAAAUCCCCGGGCUCAACCUGGGAACUGCCUUUGUGACUGCAAGGCUAGAGUACGGCAGAGGGGGGUGGAAUUCCGCGUGUAGCAGUGAAAUGCGUAGAUAUGCGGAGGAACACCGAUGGCGAAGGCAACCCCCUGGGCCUGUACUGACGCUCAUGCACGAAAGCGUGGGGAGCAAACAGG